AUGCUCAUUUCAGCAGCACAUAUAAUAAAAUUGCAACGACACAGAGAUUAGCAUGGCCCCUGGGCAAGGAUAACAUGCAAAUUUGGGAAGCAUUCCAUAUGUUG